rnacentral:rRNA from 1 species
GAUGAACGCUGGCGGCGUGCUUAACACAUGCAAGUCGAACGGAAAGGCCCUGCUUUUGUGGGGUGCUCGAGUGGCGAACGGGUGAGUAACACGUGAGUAACCUGCCCUUGACUUUGGGAUAACUUCAGGAAACUGGGGCUAAUAUCGGAUAGGAGCUCCUGCUGCAUGGUGGGGGUUGGAAAGUUUCGGCGGUUGGGGAUGGACUCGCGGCUUAUCAGCUUGUUGGUGGGGUAGUGGCUUACCAAGGCUUUGACGGGUAGCCGGCCUGAGAGGGUGACCGGCGACAUUGGGACUGAGGUACGGAGCAGACUCCUACGGGAGGCAGCAGUGGAGAGUAUUACGCAAUGGGCGGAAGCCUGAUGCAGCAACGCCGCGUGCGGGAUGACGGCCUUCGAGUUAUAAACCGCUUUCGCCUGUGACGAAGCGAGAGUGACGGUAAUGGGUAAAGAAGCACCGGCUAACUACGUG